UACCAGCACCCCGAGUGGUCGGGACGAUUAUUGGGCCUAAGCAUCCGUAGCCGGUCCUGCAAGUCUUCCGUUAAAUCCAGCUGCUCAACAGAUGGGCUGCGGGAGAUACUACAGGGCUAGGAGGCGGGAGAGGCAAGCGGUACUUUAUGGGUAGGGGUAAAAUCCGCUGAUCCAUAGAAGACCACCAGUGGCGAAGGCGGCUUGCCAGAACGCGCUCGACGGUGAGGGAUGAAAGCUGGGGGAGCAAACCGG
rnacentral:rRNA from 1 species